UGGGGAAUUUUGGACAAUGGGCGAAAGCCUGAUCCAGCAAUGCCGCGUGUGUGAAGAAGGCCUUCGGGUUGUAAAGCACUUUUGUCCGGAAAGAAAUCCUUGGCUCUAAUACAGUCGGGGGGAUGACGGUACCGGAAGAAUAAGCACCGGCUAACUACGCGCCAGCAGCCGCGGUAAUACGUAGGGUGCAAGCGUUAAUCGGAAUUACUGGGCGUAAAGCGUGCGCAGGCGGUUUGCUAAGACCGAUGUGAAAUCCCCGGGCUCAACCUGGGAACUGCAUUGGUGACUGGCAGGCUAGAGUAUGGCAGAGGGGGGUAGAAUUCCACGUGUAGCAGUGAAAUGCGUAGAGAUGUGGAGGAAUACCGAUGGCGAAGGCAGCCCCCUGGGCCAAUACUGACGCUCAUGCACGAAAGCGUGGGGAGCAAACAGGAUUAGAUACCCUGGUAGUCCACGCCCUAAACGAUGUCAACUAGUUGUUGGGGAUUCAUUUCCUUAGUAACGUA
rnacentral:rRNA from 1 species